rnacentral:rRNA from 1 species
CCUACGUGAGGCAACAGUGGGGAAUAUUGCGCAAUGGGCGAAAGCCUGACGCAGCGACGCCGCGUGAGGGAUGAAGGUCUUCGGAUCGUAAACCUCUGUCAGCAGGGAAGAACGGUCACUGUGCUAAUCAGCAGUGAAUUGACGGUACCUGCAAAGGAAGCACCGGCUAACUCCGUGCCAGCAGCCGCGGUAAUACGGAGGGUGCGAGCGUUAAUCGGAAUUACUGGGCGUAAAGCGCUCGUAGGCGGUAUGUCAAGUCAAGGGUGAAAUCCCCGCGCUCAACGUGGGAACUGCCUUUGAAACUGGCAAACUGGAGUGUGUGAGAGGAUAGUGGAAUUCCAGGUGUAGGAGUGAAAUCCGUAGAUAUCUGGAGGAACAUCAGUGGCGAAGGCGACUAUCUGGCACAUAACUGACGCUGAGGAGCGAAAGCGUGGGUAGCAAACAGGAUUAGAUACCCCAGUAGUC